AGCAUUCGGGGAUGGGGAAAUGAUCUUGGAUGACCCACGUGAGCCCAAUGUAAUCACAGCGUCCUUGUAAGAGAGAAGCAGGAGGAUCAGUCAGAGGAAGGAGAUGUAAAAAUGGAGAGGGUCAGAGAGGAGAGGAAAUGCUACCCUGUAGCUUUGAAUACGGAGAAGAGUCUAGGAAUGCUGACAAUCUCUAGAAGCUGAAGGAGAGAAAGAAGUAAAGACAAGAAAGCAGAUUCUCCCCAGAGCCUCCAGAGUGGAACGUAGCCUUAUCAACAUCCUGACUCUAGCAAGGAAAUAUCCAGAAUCAACAAAUUCCUGAAGACAGAAAGCAGAUCGACGGUUGCCAGGCAAUGGAAGGAGAGGAGAUGGGGUGACUUUUUAAUAGACAGAAGAUUUCCUUUGGAUCAAAGAAAAUAUUCAGAGACUGAAAUAGUGGUGAGGGUUACACAACCUUGUGAACAAACUGAAUGUCUUUAAUGGUGGGACCCGACAAUCUGAAUUUUGCUCACAGAGAGUGAACAACACUUCCCGAGCUUGGAACACUGCCUUCUUUUUGAAUCUUCUCUCAAUAAUAUGUGCAUGAUCCUUACUAGAAACCAUAAACUAAACUAAACUAAAUUCCAAAGGGAUUUAAGAGGGCUUCCCUGGUAGCUCAGCUGGUAAAGAAUCAGCCUGUAAUGCAGGAGACCCCGGUUUUAUUCCUGAAUCUGGAAGAUACCCUGGAGAAGGGACAGACUACCUACUCUAGUAUUCUUGGGCUUCCCUGGUGGCUCAGAUGGUAAAGAAUCCACCUGCAAUGAAGGUGACCUGGGUUCAAUCCCUGGGUUGGGAAGAUCUUCUGGAGGAGGUUGUGGCAACCCACUCCAGUAUUCUUGCCUGAAGAAUCCCCAAGGACAGAGGAGCCUGGCAGGCUACAGUCCAUGGGGUCUCAAAGAGUCAGACAUGACUGAGAGACUAAGCACAGCAUAUAUCUGUA
ensembl:lncRNA